CCUGUCACUCCUACGGGAGGCAGCAGUGGGGAAUAUUGCACAAUGGGGGAAACCCUGAUGCAGCCAUGCCGCGUGUGUGAAGAAGGCCUUCGGGUUGUAAAGCACUUUCAGUAGGGAGGAAGGUAGUGUAGUUAACACCUGCAUUAUUUGACGUUACCUACAGAAGAAGCACCGGCUAACUCCGUGCCAGCAGCCGCGGUAAUACGGAGGGUGCGAGCGUUAAUCGGAAUUACUGGGCGUAAAGCGCAUGCAGGCGGCCUGUUAAGUCAGAUGUGAAAGCCCGGGGCUUAACCUCGGAAUUGCAUUUGAAACUGGCAGGCUAGAGUCUUGUAGAGGGGGUAGAAUUUCAGGUGUAGCGGUGAAAUGCGUAGAGAUCUGAAGGAAUACCAGUGGCGAAGGCGGCCCCCUGGACAAAGACUGACGCUCAGAUGCGAAAGCGUGGGGAGCAAACAGGAUUAGAUACCCUGGUAG
rnacentral:rRNA from 1 species